rnacentral:rRNA from 1 species
GACGAACGCUGGCGGCGUGCCUAAUACAUGCAAGUAGAACGCUGAAGGAGGAGCUUGCUUCUCUGGAUGAGUUGCGAACGGGUGAGUAACGCGUAGGUAACCUGCCUGGUAGCGGGGGAUAACUAUUGGAAACGAUAGCUAAUACCGCAUAAGAGUAGAUGUCGCAUGACAUUUGCUUAAAAGGUGCAAUUGCAUCACUACCAGAUGGACCUGCGUUGUAUUAGCUAGUUGGUGAGGUAGCGGCUCACCAAGGCAACGAUACAUAGCCGACCUGAGAGGGGGAUCGGCCACACUGGGACUGAGACACGGCCCAGACUCCUACGGGAGGCAGCAGUAGGGAAUCUUCGGCAAUGGACGGAAGUCUGACCGAGCAACGCCGCGGGAGUGAAGAAGGUUUUCGGAUCGUAAAGCUCUGUUGUAAGAGAAGAACGAGUGUGAGAGUGGAAAGUUCACACUGUGACGGUAUCUUACCAGAAAGGGACGGCUAACUACGUG